CGUGUAGGCGGUCGGUCAAGUCCGAUGUGAAAGCCCGGGGCUCACCCCCGGAAGUGCAUCGGAAACUAGCCGGCUGGAGCGCGAUAGAGGAGGGUGGAAUUCCUGGUGUAGCGGUGAAAUGCGUAGAUAUCAGGAGGAACACCGGCGGCGAAGGCGGCCCUCUGGAUCGUUGCUGACGCUGAGACGCGAAAGCGUGGGGAGCAAACAGGAUUAGAUACCCUGGUAGUCCACGCUGUAAACGAUGGGUACUAGGUGUUCGGGGUAUUGACCCCCUGAGUGCCGCAGCUAACGCAUUAAGUACCCCGCCUGGGGACUACGGCCGCAAGGUUAAA
rnacentral:rRNA from 1 species